rnacentral:rRNA from 1 species
GACGAACACUGGCGGCGUGCCUAAUACAUGCAAGUAGAACGCUGAAGAGAGGAGCUUGCUCUUCUUGGAUGAGUUGCGAACGGGUGAGUAACGCGUAGGUAACCUGCCUUGUAGCGGGGGAUAACUAUUGGAAACGAUAGCUAAUACCGCAUAACAAUGGAUGACACAUGUCAUUUAUUUGAAAGGGGCAAUUGCUCCACUACAAGAUGGACCUGCGUUGUAUUAGCUAGUAGGUGAGGUAACGGCUCACCUAGGCGACGAUACAUAGCCGACCUGAGAGGGUGAUCGGCCACACUGGGACUGAGACACGGCCCAGACUCCUACGGGAGGCAGCAGUAGGGAAUCUUCGGCAAUGGGGGCAACCCUGACCGAGCAACGCCGCGUGAGUGAAGAAGGUUUUCGGAUCGUAAAGCUCUGUUGUAAGUCAAGAACGAGUGUGAGAGUGGAAAGUUCACACUGUGACGGUAGCUUACCAGAAAGGGACGGCUAACUACGUGCCAGCAGCCGCGGUAAUACGUAGGUCCCGAGCGUUGUCCGGAUUUAUUGGGCGUAAAGCGAGCGCAGGCGGUUUGAUAAGUCUGAAGUUAAAGGCUGUGGCUCAACCAUAGUUCGCUUUGGAAACUGUCAAACUUGAGUGCAGAAGGGGAGAGUGGAAUUC